AGAGAGAGAGAGAGAGAGAGAGCACAGAAGGAAAGGAAGCAAUUAAGCGUGGAAUAGAAACAGUAGGGCAGUUUGAAUUGGGGCAAUUACACGUCGAAAAGCAAAGGCACAAAACUAGUUAUAUAGUGAUACAAGUGAAAAGAGCCUAAUAUUUGAAGCGGAAAAUCAAAUCUACGGUUUAUCUUAUGACACGUGGUGGGUCCCAGACCGCACGAUUAUAAUCCCUAUCCGUUGGUAGGGGUCAAGGGUGGUGAUGC
rnacentral:misc_RNA from 1 species